rnacentral:rRNA from 1 species
UAUGAACGCUGGCGGCGUGCCUAAUACAUGCAAGUCGAGCGAACAGACGAGGAGCUUGCUCCUCUGACGUUAGCGGCGGACGGGUGAGUAACACGUGGAUAACCUACCUAUAAGACUGGGAUAACUUCGGGAAACCGGAGCUAAUACCGGAUAAUAUAUUGAACCGCAUGGUUCAAUAGUGAAAGACGGUUUUGCUGUCACUUAUAGAUGGAUCCGCGCCGCAUUAGCUAGUUGGUAAGGUAACGGCUUACCAAGGCGACGAUGCGUAGCCGACCUGAGAGGGUGAUCGGCCACACUGGAACUGAGACACGGUCCAGACUCCUACGGGAGGCAGCAGUAGGGAAUCUUCCGCAAUGGGCGAAAGCCUGACGGAGCAACGCCGCGUGAGUGAUGAAGGUCUUCGGAUCGUAAAACUCUGUUAUUAGGGAAGAACAAAUGUGUAAGUAACUAUGCACGUCUUGACGGUACCUAAUCAGAAAGCCACGGCUAACUACGUG